UGCCAACUACAAGCAUCUCUCUGCAAAUCCUGAAUGUCAUGUUAUCAUUUUCUCGGCUGACUUUAACCUCCAUAUUCUGUCACAGCAACUACCGGUAUAGUCCCAAAACAUGCAGGCAGGGUUAAGAAACUUAGGCAAAACAGGUAGAAGUUGUCAGACAGCUCAGGAAGAAAAAAAGAAAAGAAAAUCAAGGAGAAAUGAGAGUCAGCAACAAGAAAUGAAAUAGAAAUGUUUCCAUUUCAGAGCAGUCCUACACAGAGUUCCAGUGUUUUCUUCCUGUGAUAAAGAAGAUGGCUGACUAAUUUUAGGAUCAGGGUCGGGUGAAAGAUCAUCUAUCUACUUGAUAAUGAAGCAACAAUGCAGCAAAACAGCAAGUUCUGCAAUGAAAUAGGAGCCUACAUUUGUGAGAUAAGGAUGUGACUACACUGACAGCAGCUUCACUUGCUAACCUCAGGAAUAUACUGAUAGAAAAGGCAGAAUAAAUGCAGUUUGGAUAUUGAUUCAGCUCAAAGCAUGCCCUAACCAGAAAGGAUUGUCACGUACAGUAAUGGUUCUGCCGGAAUGUAUUUUAAACAACUGCUGAAAAAAGACUCAUCUCUUCAUUCAUGAUUUUUUGUGAACAUUAAGAAAAUCUGUGCUCUUCCCUAUUUAUGAGAAGCAGCAGAAACAGAAUACUGUUCAUUAAGAGGAUGAUCUAGCACAGGAACUGAUGUCCCAUUUGAGUUACUAAGAAAUUUUGUAUCUUGUCACAGUUUUUCAAUGGAAAUAAGUUCAAGAUGACAAACUGAAUGUGACUAAGGUAUUGGCUGAUUAUUUAGUAAAAUAGCUACAAAUAC